GGUGGUGGUAGCUGAGUGGAUAAGAUUAUGGACUUCUGAUCAGAAGGUCUUGAGUUUAAAUCCCAGCAUCAGCA